rnacentral:rRNA from 1 species
GACGAACGCUGGCGGCGUGCUUAACACAUGCAAGUCGAACGGAAAGGCCCUGCUUUUGUGGGGUGCUCGAGUGGCGAACGGGUGAGUAACACGUGAGUAACCUGCCCUUGACUUUGGGAUAACUUCAGGAAACUGGGGCUAAUACCGGAUAGGAGCUCCUGCUGCAUGGUGGGGGUUGGAAAGUUUCGGCGGUUGGGGAUGGACUCGCGGCUUAUCAGCUUGUUGGUGGGGUAGUGGCUUACCAAGGCUUUGACGGGUAGCCGGCCUGGGAGGGUGACCGGCCACAUUGGGCCUGAGAGACGGACCAGAAUCCUACGGGAGGCAGCAGUCGGGAAUAUUGCACAGUGGGCGGGAGCCUGAUGCAGAAACGCCGCGUGCGGGAUGACGGCCUUCGGGUUGUAAACCGCUUUCGCCUGUGACGAAGCGUGAGUGACGGUAAUGGGUAAAGAAGCACCGGCUAACUACGUG